GAUGAACGCUGGCGGCGUGCCUAAUACAUGCAAGUCGAGCGAACGGACGAGAAGCUUGCUUCUCUGAUGUUAGCGGCGGACGGGUGAGUAACACGUGGAUAACCUACCUAUAAGACUGGGAUAACUUCGGGAAACCGGAGCUAAUACCGGAUAAUAUUUUGAACCGCAUGGUUCAAAAGUGAAAGACGGUCUUGCUGUCACUUAUAGAUGGAUCCGCGCUGCAUUAGCUAGUUGGUAAGGUAACGGCUUACCAAGGCAACGAUGCAUAGCCGACCUGAGAGGGUGAUCGGCCACACUGGAACUGAGACACGGUCCAGACUCCUACGGGAGGCAGCAGUAGGGAAUCUUCCGCAAUGGGCGAAAGCCUGACGGAGCAACGCCGCGUGAGUGAUGAAGGUCUUCGGAUCGUAAAACUCUGUUAUUAGGGAAGAACAUAUGUGUAAGUAACUGUGCACAUCUUGACGGUACCUAAGCAGAAAGCCGCGGCUAACUACGU
rnacentral:rRNA from 1 species